rnacentral:rRNA from 1 species
GAUGAACGCUAGCGGCAGGCUUAACACAUGCAAGUCGAGGGGUAUAGGGAGCUUGCUUCCUAGAGACCGGCGCACGGGUGCGUAACGCGUAUGCAAUCUACCUUUUGCAGAGGAUAGCCCAGAGAAAUUUGGAUUAAUACCUCAUAGUAUAGCAGUUUCGCAUGAAACCACUAUUAAAGUCACAACGGCAAAAGAUGAGCAUGCGUCCCAUUAGCUUGUUGGUAAGGUAACGGCUUACCAAGGCAACGAUGGGUAGGGGUCCUGAGAGGGAGAUCCCCCACACUGGUACUGAGACACGGACCAGACUCCUAACGGGAGGACAGCAGUGAGGAAUAU